CGCGGGGUAGAGCAGUUGGUCAGCUCGUCAGGCUCAUAACCUGAAGGUCGUAGGUUCGAACCCUACCUCCGCAA
rnacentral:tRNA from 1 species